AACGAACGCUGGCGGCAGGCUUAACACAUGCAAGUCGAACGGUUGUAGCAAUACAGCAGUGGCGCACGGGUGAGUAACGCGUGGAUAUCUGCCUUUUGGUUCGGAAUAACUCCGGGAAACUGGAGCUAAUACCGGAUGGUUCCUACGGGAUAAAGAUUUAUCGCCAAAAGAUGAGUCCGCGUACGAUUAGCUAGUUGGUGAGGUAAUGGCUCACCAAGGCGACGAUCGUUAGCUGGUCUGAGAGGACGAUCAGCCACACUGGGACUGAGACACGGCCCAGACUCCUACGGGAGGCAGCAGUGGGGAAUAUUGGACAAUGGGGGCAACCCUGAUCCAGCCAUGCCGCGUGAGUGAUGAAGGCC
rnacentral:rRNA from 1 species